rnacentral:rRNA from 1 species
UACGGAGGAUGCGAGCGUUAUCCGGAUUUAUUGGGUUUAAAGGGUGCGUAGGCGGACUGUUAAGUCAGCGGUCAAAUGUCGGUGCUCAACGCCGGCCUGCCGUUGAAACUGGCGGUCUUGAGUGAGCGAGAAGUAUGCGGAAUGCGCAGUGUAGCGGUGAAAUGCAUAGAUAUUGCGCAGAACUCCGAUUGCGAAGGCAGCAUACCGGCGCCCAACUGACGCUGAGGCACGAAAGCGUGGGGAUCGAACAGG